GGUGGCUCAGUGGUAGAGCGCUUGCUUUCCAUGCAUGAGGCCCUGGGUUCAAUUCCUCAGCACCA
rnacentral:tRNA from 1 species